rnacentral:rRNA from 1 species
AGUGAACGCUGGCGGUAGGCCUAACACAUGCAAGUCGAACGGCAGCACAGUAAGAGCUUGCUCUUACGGGUGGCGAGUGGCGGACGGGUGAGGAAUACAUCGGAAUCUACUUUUUCGUGGGGGAUAACGUAGGGAAACUUACGCUAAUACCGCAUACGACCUACGGGUGAAAGCAGGGGAUCUUCGGACCUUGCGCGAUUGAAUGAGCCGAUGUCGGAUUAGCUAGGUGGCGGGGUAAAGGCGCACCAAGGCGACGAUCCGUAGCUGGUAUGAGAGGAUGGUCAGACACACUGGAACUGAGACACGGUCCAGACUCCGACGGGAGGCAGCAGUGGGGAAUAUUGGACAAUGGGCGCAAGCCUGAUCCAGCCAUACCGCGUGGGUGAAGAAGGCCUUCGGGUUGUAAAGCCCUUUUGUUGGGAAAGAAAAGCAGCAGGAUAAUACCCCGCUGUUCUGACGGUACCCAAAGAAUAAGCACCGGCUAACUUCGUG